rnacentral:rRNA from 1 species
AUUGAACGCUGGCGGCAGGCCUAACACAUGCAAGUCGAACGAGUGGCGGACGGGUGAGUAAUGUCUGGGAAACUGCCUGAUGGAGGGGGAUAACUACUGGAAACGGUAGCUAAUACCGCAUACCAUCGGAUGUGCCCAGAUGGGAUUAGCUGGUGGGUGGGGUAAAGGCUCACCUAGGCGACGAUCCCUAGCUGGUCUGAGAGGUGGACCGGCAAAACGGGACCUGGAACAGGGUCCAGCUCCCUCGGGGAGGAAGCAGUGGGGAACAUUGCACAAUGGGCGCAAGCCGGAUGCAGCCAUGCCGCGUGUAUGAAGAAGGCCUUGGGGUGGUAAAGUACUUUCAGCGGGGAGGCGUUACCCGCAGAAGAAGCCCCGGCUAACUCCGUGCCAGCAGCCGCGGUAAUUC